CCUACGGGCGGCAGCAGUAGGGAAUAUUGCUCAAUGGGGGAAACCCUGAAGCAGCAACGCCGCGUGGAGGAUGAAGGUUUUCGGAUUGUAAACUCCUUUUGUUAGAGAAGAUAAUGACGGUAUCUAACGAAUAAGCACCGGCUAACUCCGUGCCAGCAGCCGUGGUAAUACGGAGGGAGCAAGCGUUACUCGGAAUCACUGGGCGUAAAGAGCGCGUAGGCGGGAUGGCAAGUCAGAUGUGAAAUCCUAUGGCUUAACCAUAGAAUUGCAGUUGAAACUGUUAAUCUAGAGUAUAGGAGAGGUAGGUGGAAUUCUUGGUGUAGGGGUAAAAUGCGUAGAGAUCAAGAGGAAUACUCAUUGCGAAGGCGACCUGCUAGAACAUAACUGACGCUGAUGCGCGAAAGCGUGGGGAGCAAACAGGAUUAGAUACCCCUGUAGUC
rnacentral:rRNA from 1 species